UGGCGUGCUUAACACAUGCAAGUCGAGCGAGACCUUCGGGUCUAGCGGCGGACGGGUGAGUAACGCGUGGGAACGUGCCCUUUUCUGCGGAAUAGCCUCGGGAAACUGAGCGUAAUACCGCAUACGCCCUUUGGGGGAAAGAUUUAUCGGAAAAGGAUCGGCCCGCGUUGGAUUAGGUAGUUGGUGGGGUAACGGCCUACCAAGCCGACGAUCCAUAGCUGGUUUGAGAGGAUGAUCAGCCACACUGGGACUGAGACACGGCCCAGACUCCUACGGGAGGCAGCAGUGGGGAAUCUUAGACAAUGGGGGCAACCCUGAUCUAGCCAUGCCGCGUGAGUGAUGAAGGCCUUAGGGUUGUAAAGCUCUUCAGCUGGAAGAUAAUGACGACCCGCGGCC
rnacentral:rRNA from 1 species